rnacentral:rRNA from 1 species
AUUGAACGCUGGCGGCAUGCCUUACACAUGCAAGUCGAACGGCAGCACGGACUUCGGUCUGGUGGCGAGUGGCGAACGGGUGAGUAAUAUAUCGGAACAUACCUUGUAGUGGGGGAUAACUAUCCGAAAGGAUAGCUAAUACCGCAUACGCUCUAAGGAGGAAAGUGGGGGAUCGCAAGACCUCAUGCUAUAAGAGUGGCCGAUAUCUGAUUAGCUAGUUGGUGAGGUAAAGGCUCACCAAGGCGACGAUCAGUAGCUGGUCUGAGAGGACGACCAGCCACACUGGAACUGUGACACGGUCCAGACUCCUACGGGAGGCAGCAGUGGGGAAUUUUGGACAAUGGGGGCAACCCUGAUCCAGCAAUGCCGCGUGAGUGAAGAAGGCCUUCGGGUUGUAAAGCUCUUUUGUCAGGGAAGAAACGGUUGUGGCUAAUAUCCAUGGCUAAUGACGGUACCUGAAGAAUAAGCACCGGCUAACUACGUGCCAGCAGCCGCGGUAAAAC